GUGAAAGCCCACGGCUCAACCGUGGAGGGUCAUUGGAAACUGGGGAACUUGAGUGCAGAAGAGAAAAGCGGAAUUCCACGUGUAGCGGUGAAAUGCGUAGAGAUGUGGAGGAACACCAGUGGCGAAGGCGGCUUUUUGGUCUGUAACUGACGCUGAGGCGCGAAAGCGUGGGGAGCAAACAGGAUUAGAUACCCUGGUAGUCCACGCCGUAAACGAUGAGUGCUAAGUGUUAGAGGGUUUCCGCCCUUUAGUGCUGCAGCUAACGCAUUAAGCACUCCGCCUGGGGAGUACGGUCGCAAGACUGAAACU
rnacentral:rRNA from 1 species